GGAGGCCACUGCUAUGGGGGUCCGACUAAGCCAUGCGAGUCAAGGGGGCGUCCCUUCUGGGACGCCACCGGCGGACGGCUCAGUAACACGUCGGUAACCUACCCUCGGGAGGGGGAUAACCCCGGGAAACUGGGGCUAAUCCCCCAUAGGCCUGGGGUACUGGAAGGUCCCCAGGCCGAAAGGGAGCCGUAAGGCUCGCCCGAGGAUGGGCCGGCGGCCGAUUAGGUAGUUGGUGGGGUAACGGCCCACCAAGCCGAGAUCGGUACGGGCCGUGAGAGAGGGAGCCCGGAGAUGGACACUGACACACGGGUCCAGGCCCUACGGGGCGCAGCAGGCGCGAAACCUCCGCAAUGCGGGAAACCGCGACGGGGGGACCCCCAGUGCCGUGCCUCUGGCACGGCUUUUCCGGAGUGUAAAAAGCUCCGGGAAUAAGGGCUGGGCAAGGCCGGUGGCAGCCGCCGCGGUAAUACCGGCGGCCCGAGUGGUGGCCACUAUUAUUGGGCCUAAAGCGGCCGUAGCCGGGCCCGUAAGUCCCUGGCGAAAUCCCACGGCUCAACCGUGGGGCUCGCUGGGGAUACUGCGGGCCUUGGGACCGGGAGAGGCCGGGGGUACCCCCGGGGUAGGGGUGAAAUCCUAUAAUCCCGGGGGGACCGCCAGUGGCGAAGGCGCCCGGCUGGAACGGGUCCGACGGUGAGGGCCGAAGGCCAGGGGAGCGAACCGGAUUAGAUACCCGGGUAGUCCUGGCUGUAAAGGAUGCGGGCUAGGUGUCGGGCGAGCUUCGAGCUCGCCCGGUGCCGUAGGGAAGCCGUUAAGCCCGCCGCCUGGGGAGUACGGCCGCAAGGCUGAAACUUAAAGGAAUUGGCGGGGGAGCACUACAAGGGGUGGAGCGUGCGGUUUAAUUGGAUUCAACGCCGGGAACCUCACCGGGGGCGACGGCAGGAUGAAGGCCAGGCUGAAGGUCUUGCCGGACGCGCCGAGAGGAGGUGCAUGGCCGCCGUCAGCUCGUACCGUGAGGCGUCCACUUAAGUGUGGUAACGAGCGAGACCCGCGCCCCCAGUUGCCAGUCCCUCCCGCUCGGGAGGGAGGCACUCUGGGGGGACUGCCGGCGACUAAGCCGGAGGAAGGGGCGGGCGACGGUAGGUCAGUAUGCCCCGAAACCCCCGGGCUACACGCGCGCUACAAUGGGCGGGACAAUGGGUGCCGACCCCGAAAGGGGGAGGUAAUCCCCUAAACCCGCCCUCAGUUCGGAUCGCGGGCUGCAACUCGCCCGCGUGAAGCUGGAAUCCCUAGUAACGGCGCGUCAUCAUCGCGCGGCGAAUACGUCCCUGCUCCUUGCACACACCGCCCGUCACUCCACCCGAGCGGGGCCUAGGUGAGGCCCGAUCUCCUUCGGGAGGUCGGGUCGAGCCUAGGCUCCGUGAGGGGGGAG
rnacentral:rRNA from 1 species